AUUGAACGCUAGCGGGAUGCUUUACACAUGCAAGUCGAACGAGUGGCGGACGGGUGAGUAAUAUCUCGGAACUUGCCUAGCCGCGGGGGACAACUAAGCGAAAGAGUGGCUAAUACAUCAUACUUUUGGAGCGGCCGAGAUUGGAUGGGCUAGUUGGUGGGGUAAAGGCUCACCAAGGCAAAGAUCCGUAGCUGGUUUGAGAGGAAGACCAGCCAAACUGGGACUGAGACACGGACCAGACUCCUACGGGAGGCAGCAGUGGGGAAGUUUGGACAAUGGGGGAAACCCUGAUCCAGCCAUGCCGCGUGUAUGAGAAGGCCUGCGGGUUGUAAAGUACUUUUGGCAGAGAAGCGGUAUCUGCAGAAUAAGCACCGGCUAACUACGUGCCAGCAGCCGCGGUAAUUC
rnacentral:rRNA from 1 species